ensembl:Mt_tRNA
GUUCUUGUAGUUGAACUACAACAGUGGUUUUUCGAGUCACCGGUCUCAGUUAAAGUCUGAGUAAGAAUU